rnacentral:rRNA from 1 species
UACGUAGGGUGCAAGCGUUGUCCGGAAUUAUUGGGCGUAAAGAGCUCGUAGGCGGUUCGUCGCGUCGGCUGUGAAAACCCGAGGCUCAACCUCGGGCCUGCAGUCGAUACGGGCAGGCUAGAGUGUGGUAGGGGAGAUCGGAAUUCCUGGUGUAGCGGUGAAAUGCGCAGAUAUCAGGAGGAACGCCGGUGGCGAAGGCGGAUCUCUGGGCCAUUACUGACGCUGAGGAGCGAAAGCGUGGGGAGCGAACAGG